UAGGUUUAGCAAAUAGAUUUAUGGAAUGAUUUUAUCAUCUAGCAAUAACUAUUAGGUAUCGUAAUAGCUAAGCUGGAGGAAUGGAUUACUUUACUUACAGCGGCGAGGUGAUAGACGAAAAGGUGGAGUUGGUACUUUGGUCACUGAAAACUUCCCAUAGUAACAGUAUGUUGGAAUACCGACAAUGAAGAUAACAAAUUGAAGGCACAAUUCGACUGGGACUUGAUAUGUUGAAAGCCGGCUACGUAACCACGGCAAAAAGGAGAACUGUGUGCUGCAAAUAAUAAGGAAAAUCUAAAAUGUUAUUUUGCUACGAAAACAACGGUGUCAUCCGAAAUCAUGGUGAAAACGCACUAGCAUCGUAUUUAGAAAAAUUAAUCUACAAAUAACGGUCGAAAGAUGGAUACCUGAUACGGAGACCUUUUGCCAAAUCAUUCGAUUUUUAGAAAACUAUUUUAGGGUCAAUGACCGAGACCGACCGACUUUAGCACCAAUGUCUAGGACUGGUAUUGGUGUUGCUGAUGUCCUUGUCGGUUAUGACCAGCAAAGUUACUGAAAAAAUACGUGAGAAUACCGCUGCCAAUGAAGAAGCUCCCCGUCAGCAUAAACACAUCGCAGGCACGUUCUUUGUUAUUGGUUUCAAUACAGUUGACUUGUGCUCAUAACAGUUUUGUAUAGCUAAAUUCCUGUGUCCUCCGGAAGCCUGUUCACCCAGAUGUGGCAAAGGUUUUCACUGCAUGAAAGGCCAAUCACCCAAGGAGCCACCUUGUUAUUGCAUGCUGGACUCGGAUAUGCCAUAACAAAAAAGGAUCUCAUUCCGUAGUCCAAGCAGAUUGAUCACGAUGGCAUGCGUAAAUUGAUGACGUCAUCUAAUUCUUUCAGCCACAAUGUCCACCUUGUUUCCAUUGAAAAGAGAGUGCGUAAAAAAAGUAUUUAAUAGAAUUCGUGAAUCACAA